GACGAACGCUGGCGGCGUGCCUAAUACAUGCAAGUCGAACGCAGUGGGGACGGGUGAGUAACACGUGGGUAACCUCCCAUCAGAGGGGAUAACACUUGGAAACAGGUGCUAAACCGAUACUGAUGGAUGGACCCGCGGUGCAUUAGCUAGUUGGGGAGGUAACGGCUCACCAAGGCCAGGAGGCAUAGCGGACCUGAGAGGGGGAUCGGCCACACUGGGACUGAGACACGGCCCAGAUCCCUACGGGAGGAAGCAGUGGGGAUACUUCGGCAAUGGCCGAAAGUCUGACCGAGCAACGCGGGGUGAGUGAAGAAGGUUUUCGGUUCGUAAGACUCUGUUGUUAGAGAGCGGUAUCUAACCAGAAAGCAACGGCUAACUCCGUGCCAGCAGCCGCGGUAAUAC
rnacentral:rRNA from 1 species